ensembl:lncRNA
AUGAGCAGAGUAAAGACUCUGAGAAAUAGAGUACAGACAGAAAGUGUCACAACUAAUUGGAAUAGCAGAGAAAAGUGUCCGGAGCUCACCAGGAGAAACAGUAUGAGUGGACAGAGACCCUGUCUGGCUCAUGAUGCAGAUGCGGACAGACCUGUGAAGUGUCAUUCUGAUUUGUCAGAGAGGAUCAAAUAUGAGCACAAAACCUCCUGGACCCGUCCUCCUGACAGCAUCUCUAUCAGCAAAACCGAAAUACCUUCAUGAUCAUGUUACCAACAAUCACUCUCAUAGAGCUAAAUCACCAUUGCUUUUCAUUUUCUCAUAAAUCCUAAAUCAAUAAAAACUCCCAACUGAGGCGAGACUGAACA